rnacentral:rRNA from 1 species
GAUGAACGCUGGCGGCGUGCUUAACACAUGCAAGUCGAACGGUGAACGAGGGAGCUUGCUCCCUCCGGAUCAGUGGCGAACGGGUGAGUAACACGUGAGCAAUCUGCCCUGGACUCUGGGAUAAGCGUUGGAAACGACGUCUAAUACCGGAUACGAGGCGUGGGGGCAUCCCCAACGCCUGGAAAGAACUUCGGUCCAGGAUGAGCUCGCGGCCUAUCAGGUAGUUGGUGAGGUAAUGGCUCACCAAGCCUACGACGGGUAGCCGGCCUGAGAGGGUGACCGGCCACACUGGGACGGAGACACGGCCCAGACUCCUACGGGAGGCAGCAGUGGGGAAUAUUGCACAAUGGGCGAAAGCCUGAUGCAGCAACGCCGCGUGAGGGACGACGGCCUUCGGGUUGUAAACCUCCUUUAGCAGGGAAGAAGCGAAAGUGACGGUACCUGCAGAAGAAGCACCGGCUAACUACGUGCCAGCAGCCGCUGUAAGAC